rnacentral:rRNA from 1 species
AGAUUGAACGCUGGCGGCAUGCUUUACACAUGCAAGUCGAACGGUAACAGGCCGCAGGGUGCUGACGGGUGGCGAACGGGUGAGUAAUGCAUCGGAACGUGCCCAGUCGUGGGGGAUAACGCAGCGAAAGCUGUGCUAAUACCGCAUACGAUCUAUGGAUGAAAGCGGGGGACCGAAAGGCCUCGCGCGAUUGGAGCCGGCCGAUGUCAGAUUAGCUAGUUGGUGGGGUAAAGGCCCACCAAGGCGACGAUCUGUAGCUGGUCUGAGAGACGACCAGCCACACUGGAACUGAGACACGGUCCAGACUCCUACGGAGGCAGCAGUGGGAAUUUUGGACAAGUGGCGCAAGCCUGAUCCACGCAAUGCCGACGUGGCCGAGGAAGG